AUAUAUAAAUGGGCAAUUACGGAUUUCAGAUAGUGAUAUAAAGUGAAU
rnacentral:guide_RNA from 1 species